GGCUUUUUGAUUAUAAUUUAAAGUCAGGCCUGCCCAAUGAAUAAGUUUAAAUGGCCGCGGUAUUUUGACCGUGCAAAGGUAGCAUAAUCAUUAGUUUUUUAAUUGAAAGCUUGUAUGAAAGGUUUGAUGAGAAAAUUACUGUCUCUAAUUAAAUUUAAUAGAAUUUUAUUUUUAAGUUAAAAAGCUUAAAUUUUUAUAGAAGACGAGAAGACCCUAUAGAGUUUUAUAGAAAUUCUUCCUUAGAAGCUUUUAGAAUUUUAUCUAUAUUAAAGAUAUUUUUAUUUUGUUGGGGUGAUAGAAAAAUUAAAUUAACUUUUUCUUCUUAGAUUCACUUAUCAGUGAAAAAUUGAUCCAAAAAUUUUGAUUAUAAGAAUAAAUUACCUUAGGGAUAACAGCGUAAUUUUUUUUUAGAGUUCAAAUCAAAAAAAAAGAUUGCGACCUCGAUGUUGGAUUAAAAUUAAGGAUUGGUGUAGAAGCUAAUCUUUUAAGUCUGUUCGACUUUUAAAAUUUUACAUGAUCUGAGUUUAAACCG
rnacentral:rRNA from 1 species